rnacentral:rRNA from 1 species
CUUGUUCAAUAUGUCAUAACGACUCCCGGCAACGGAUAUCUCGGCUCUCGCAUCGAUGAAGAACGUAGCGAAAUGCGAUACAUGGUGUGAAUUGCAGGAUCCCGUGAACCAUCGAGUUUUUGAACGCAAGUUGCGCCCGAAGCCGUUAGGCCGA